rnacentral:rRNA from 1 species
AUUGAACGCUGGCGGAAUGCUUUACACAUGCAAGUCGAACGGCAGCACGGACUUCGGUCUGGUGGCGAGUGGCGAACGGGUGAGUAAUGUAUCGGAACGUGCCCAGUCGUGGGGGAUAACGUAGCGAAAGCUACGCUAAUACCGCAUACGAUCUAAGGAUGAAAGCGGGGGAUCGCAAGACCUCGCGCGAUUGGAGCGGCCGAUGGCAGAUUAGGUAGUUGGUAGGGUAAAGGCCUACCAAGCCGACGAUCUGUAGCUGGUCUGAGAGGAUGAUCAGCCACACUGGGACUGAGACACGGCCCAGACUCCUACGGGAGGCAGCAGUGGGGAAUUUUGGACAAUGGACGCAAGUCUGAUCCAGCCAUUCCGCGUGCAGGAUGAAGGCCCUCGGGUUGUAAACUGCUUUUGUACAGAACGAAAAGGUUUCUACUAAUACUAGGAGCUCAUGACGGUACUGUAAGAAUAAGCACCGGCUAACUACGUGCCAGCCGCCGCGGUAA